rnacentral:rRNA from 1 species
AUACGGAGGAUGCGAGCGUUAUCCGGAUUUAUUGGGUUUAAAGGGAGCGUAGGCGGGAGCUUAAGUCAGCGGUUAAAUGGUGCGGCUCAACCGUGCCCUGCCGUUGAAACUGGGUUUCUUGAGAGUGCAAGAGGCGGAUGGAAUUCAUGGGGUAGCGGUGAAAUGCUUAGAUAUAAUGAAGAACUCCGAUUGCGAAGGCAGUCCGCUGGGGCACGUCUGACGCUGAUGCUCGAAGGUGCGGGAAUCAAACAGGAUUAGAUACCCUGGUAGUCCGCACGGUAAACGAUGAUUACCCGCUGUCGGCGGCAGACAGUCGGCGGCCAAGCGAAAGCGAUAAGUAAUCCGCCUGGGGAGUACGCCGGCAACGGUGAAACUCAAAUGAAUUGACGGGG